UGUACACACCGCCCGUCACACCAUGGGAGUGGGUUGCAAAAGAAGUAGGUAGCUUAACCUUCGGGAGGGCGCUUACCACUUUGUGAUUCAUGACUGGGGUGAAGUCGUAACAAGGUAGCCGUAGGGGAACCUGCGGCUGGAUCACCUCCUUACCUUAAAGAA
rnacentral:rRNA from 1 species